CAUAAUCAUUUGUUCCUUAAUUAGGAGCUGGUAUGAAGGAGGCGACGAAAGCUAUACUAUCAAGAUUUAAUUUUAAAUUGACAGGCCGGUCAAAAGGCCGGCAUGUACCGGGGGGACGACAAGACCCUAUAAAACUUUACCUCUAGAGCAAGGGCGGGCAGAAAGCUUUGGGCACAGCGGUUUGACUGGGGCGGUCUAUAUAGAAACAAUUUAGGGUUUAAUAUAUUAAAUAGUCUCAUAGAGCUCUUUAAGAAAUAGAAUAAGUUACUUUAGGGAUAACAGCGUAAUCACCCCAGAGAGUUCCUAUCGGCGGGGUGGCUUACGACCUCGAUGUUGAAUUGGGGAUCCUCUUGUACGCAGCUGUACACAGAGACAGUCUGUUCGACUGUUAGACUCCC
rnacentral:rRNA from 1 species